CUUCGAUAUACCUGUUGAAUGAGUGAAUUGAUAAAAUCUUGAUGGGAAUUAGAUUAAGGAGACAUUUAAGACCAGGCGUGUCUCAUUAAACGCUUAGCCAUUUCUCCUCCUGGAAUACGCUUCCUCCUCUUUAUCAGCCAGGUCUCUUGAAUACAAGUGAAAGACAAGAUAAUAUGAAGUGGCUUAAAAGAACAAAAAGAAAUUUACUGAUUCACGCAUCUAAAGCGUCCGUGGAGGGGUCUGACUUUGGACAUGAGACGCUCGAAUGACGUCAUCAGGAAUCUAUUUCUCUCUCUCUCCUCGCUCUGCCUUCCUCUGUCUGGGCUUCAUCCUCAACCGGGUGCUCCUUGCUGGUAGCACGAAGGCGCACCCGGCUCUAGGCUUACAUCCUAUUCCCUCAGCAGCCCCGCAAAAACAGAGGGUCUCUCAUCAGAUUUAAAAAUCAUUCCCAGGAUGCAGUAUCGUUGGCUCUGAUUGGCUUAGCUUUGGUCACGCCCCGUUCUUGAACCAAUCGCUGUAGCCAGGGAGGUGAGAGAUGGAAUGCUCUCAUUGGUCAGGCGGGAGGAGGGGGCGGGUCCCCAAGGAGAACAUCCUCCAGAACUUUGAAGGUGAAUAGAAGUGGUCGGUGUCCAAACAGCAGAUGUCCGCUUCUGCUACUGUCCCCUUCCCAGAAACGAAACGUCUGCUGGACUCUCUGCCUUGUUUGAGUGAUGCUUUCAGAAAGGGGCAAGAGAAUCAAAAGAAAAUGGAGCUGCUUCCCGUGCCGGUGCUGAUGCAGGCUGGAGACCACAGCUGCCAAAGCUGCAGGCAGAGCAGACAGUGAGGGGCGGAGCCCGAGGAUCCAGGCGAGCGUUGAAGGGAGAGACGAACGCACCGGGGUGCGAGAACGGGACUCUGCCUCCAGUUUGCGGGGAGCCCCAAAGGCCAACAGUAACCCAACGGAGCAAGCGCCCUCCCCUCCGCCUCCGCCGGAAUUGCGAAGGGGACGGUCACAGUUGGUUUUGAGACCCCAUAGCUCAGCACCUACCUUGAGGAGGUUGGAGAGGCUGAAAGAAAGGACUGUUUGGGGAGACCCUGCUUUGGAGAAAUUUCCUGGAGUGCUGUGGGGUUUCCUCGCGGUCAGCACCCCAGCCCUGUGGUGGAGAGAAGGAUGCGCCAGCUCUUCACUGAAGCCAAGUCAGAGAGAUGUGGGGGAGGUCCUGGAGCGUUUGCCCUGUGUCUCCUGCACAGACCCAGGCCUAGAAAAGUCUAGAAGUUCGAGAUGGAGGCUGCUCAGCUUCUGCACGAUGUUGGAUUACUGCCAGCUGCAACAGGCAGUGGCUCUCGAGUGGGUGAGAGGUGCGAGUUUCUUCCAGGGACUGGUUCUGAACCCCACAGGAGCAGCUGGCCUGGGAUCGCUUGGGAUUCCCAGUAGCAGGACUACCUGGAAACGUGAGGGAUCCAGAAACAAGACACAGGGACCUGAACUCAUGUGCACCCACACACAGCAUGGAAGGCUCUAA
rnacentral:lncRNA from 1 species